CUGGGCGUGUCGGGGAACCAGGACUUUUACUUUGAAAAAAUUAGAGUGUUCAAAGCAGGCCUUUGCUCGAAUACAUUAGCAUGGAAUAAUAGAAUAGGACGUGUGGUUCUAUUUCGUUGGUUUCUAGGACCGCCGUAAUGAUUAAUAGGGAUAGUCGGGGGCAUCCGUAUUCAAUUGUCAGAGGUGAAAUUCUUGGAUUUAUUGAAGACGAACUACUGCGAAAGCGUUUGCCAAGGAUGUUUACAUUAAUCAGUGAACGAAAGUUAGGGGAUCGAAGACGAUCAGAUACCGUCGUAGUCUUAACCAUAAACUAUGCCGACUAGGGAUCGGUGGAUGUUAUCUUUUUGACUCCAUCGGCACCUUACGAGAAAUCAAAGUUUUUGGGUUCUGGGGGGAGUAUGGUCGCAAGGCUGAAAC
rnacentral:rRNA from 1 species